UAAUAGGCAAUUGUUCGAUCAAGCCAACGAUUAACUAAUCAUAUCAUAAUAAAUUCAUCCAACCAACAAGAGAGACUGCUCUUGUUCAAUUCUGCACAUUUCACAUGUAAAUCUGAAUAACUUUAAUACAAGCUGCCAAAUAUGUAUCUGUAUAUGAUCUGCAUGUUAUGGAAGGGUCCAUAUAAUUUAUUUCCUAUUGGGUACUUGGGGAAUAACUAGACAUGGAACAACUCUGUAAGAAGCUGUGAAUAUCCUAGGAAUUUUCAACUAUAUAAAAGAAACAUGCCAUACAAUGCUUAUAUAUAUAUAUCUGUAUAUACCCAAUAAUCAUAUGGUUUAAUUUUGUUCUUUCUUUUCUCUUCUUCUUCUUCUUCUUCUUCUCAUUUCCCUUUUUUAACUUAUUCUGGUUUCUCUUUGGUGGGUCAUUGUACGUGCAGCGACAUUACUCAUGUUGUCAGCUUCGAACAUCAUGAUGAGUAUAAUCUUGAAUUUAUGGAGGAGAAGAAGUAAAAGCUGGCGUCUCCAUUGAUCUCAAAUUAAAAUGAAUCCAAGUGGGUGAGGGAGAGGGCCUUGGUAGAAUAAAUAU
rnacentral:lncRNA from 1 species